AUAUAUAUAUAAAUAUAUAUAUAAAACUUUACUUUUCCUAGUGGGAGUGCCUGUUGUCCACACAACAUGCCCACCCCCACAGCAAUCCCUGUAUAUACAGCCACUCCCAUAACACUCCCCCCACACAGACACCUGUGUGUUCUCAUGAUUUACAUUACCAAGAUUUUUCAUUUUCUGUUUGUUUUUAAAAUCUCUAUAAACGAACGAUAUAUAUAUAUAUAUAUAUGUGUGUAUUUGUGUGUGUGUUAUAUGUAUAUUCACUUUAGUCUUUAUCUUUUUUCACUGGUUUAAUGCCUUCUGUUUUCCUUUCCACCAACCCACCUCUCUCUCCUCUCUAUCUCUCUCUCUCUACUUUCUGUCUGUCUAUCUUCUAUCCCUCCCUCUCUUUCUUACUUUACUCUCUUACCCAAUGUUAUCAGAUUACAA